rnacentral:rRNA from 1 species
AUUGAACGCUGGCGGCAGGCUUAACACAUGCAAGUCGAACGAGUGGCGGACGGGUGAGUAAUGCUUGGGAAUCUAGCUUAUGGAGGGGGAUAACUACGGGAAACUGUAGCUAAUACCGCGUACCAUAGGAUGAGCCCAAGUGGGAUUAGGUAGUUGGUGAGGUAAAGGCUAACCAAGCCGACGAUCUCUAGCUGGUCUGAGAGGAUGACCGGCCACCCUGGGACUGAGACACGGCCCGGACUCCUACGGGAGGCGGCAGUGGGGAAUAUUGCGCAAUGGGGGCAACCUGACGCAGCCAGGCCGCGUGAUUGAAGAAGGCCUUCGGGUUGUAAAGUUCUUUCGGUAGCGAGGCGUUAACUACAGAAGAAGCAACGGCUAACUCCGUGCCAGCCGCCGCGGUAAUAC